GUCGGAUAGGGGUGGAGUUGGGGGAGUGCUGAAGGAGAACAUCACCCAAGAGUAUCAACUCUUCAAUGCAUUACAGGAAAAUUUUGGAUGAUUCCUGAGAACACUAUUUAACACACUGGCAUUAAUUUGAUGCAGAAAGAGAAGUUCAGUCUGAAGGCCAGAUGUAGCUUCUGAACUACACUGCUACCACAAUUACCUCAGGGACUUUCCUGACUCACAGGCUAUCUAGGACAGGUAGAGGACAGAUGGCAGGCAUAGUAGAAUGAAACUCUGCGAUGUCAUUAGUGGCUACAACUCUAAGAGCCCUAUCUUUCUAGAUGAUCACUAGAUCAUCUAGUGAACGAUGAUCCUUGAAGCUGAAGAAUGUGAGGAAAAUUGUGAAGAGGAAAGAAUAGGACAAAGGGAUUCCAUGUAUGAACCAACAUAAGUCCUGGGCUAUACCUCCAAGCUGUGCAUGUGUGGAAUAUACCCAAACACAUAGCAAAGGCUUUGAAACCUGAACUGACAGUGGAACGUCUGCAGAAGACUGAAGGCUUUUUGAACUAUGUGCUAACAGGAAUGCAGUUGACAACCUAAUGACCUAGAUCUGCUCCCAGGGGUUCUAGAUGAGCAGGAAGACCCACAAAAGGCCUUCAGAAGCCAAAUGGGCUACUCAUCAAGGAGGAGCUGGAAAUAGCCUUGAUGGAGUCCAGAAAUUCAAGUUCUCAUCCCGGCACCUUCAUUCAUUACCUCCAUGACCACAGGCAACUCUCUUAGCCACCAGAGUUCGGUUUCCUUAUUGGUAAAGUGUGGUAAGGAAAAGGACUGGUAGUUUAUCUUCACUUACAGCUCUGAGUUAUCAUUCAUUAAUAAACAUGUCACCACAUUCCCACCAGAGGUGAGGAAGAAUUGGGCUGUUUCCAACCUAAAGAUCAGGAUACCCAUAUCCUUACAAAUGAGAAUUAUCCAAAAUCGUUCCAAGUACCUAAAGAAAGCAACAAUGUACCUAUGGCAUAGCAUUGUCCUUGACACUCAAAAGUAGCAUAAAACUGGAGAGGAAAAUGCCCUUCCUCAAGCCCACUGGCCAGAACCAUAGAAUUUUGAACCUGGAAGAAACCUUAACUGGAGACUCGGGUUUAAGCAUUCUUACUGAACACCUCAGGACAUGGGACACAUCAAUCUCUUUCCUCAAGGAAUUUACAGUCCAAUUUGAGGAGAUAAGAAAUGAACUCAUGAAAAACAUUUAAGGUGGAGCAUGUGUAGGCAAAGCAGAGGAGGAGAGACUGCUUCCUCAAGGUGGAAGAAGCCUUUAUGGAGGAAUCAGGGCCUAUAAGCCCCUGGAAGAUUCCCCACUUCUGAGUGCUGAGCUCUUGAUAUCACAGCCUUUGGUCCACCAUAAGACACUGAAGCACUGUAUCAGGAGGCUCCAGCUGCAGCAAAUAGGAUCCCAUCCCAAACAUAGCAUGAAGCAAGCAAUGGCCAACAGAAAGGGGAAGGAACACAACAAGGCACCCUUUAAAGUUGACUGGCCCUGAGACUUUGGCCCCUUUUCGGUGUCUUCUUGGACACUCAGACUUGGGUCCUCUUGUGAAACAGGGAGGGAAGGCCUUUAGGAAAAGACUGGUGGCAUUUCAAUUAUUUUGAUUUACUUUGAUUAUUCCCCCUUCUAAGUAAAUAAAUUAAUUCUGUAAUCAAGA